GACGAACGCUGGCGGCGUGCUUAACACAUGCAAGUCGAACGGAAAGGCCCUGCUUUUGUGGGGUGCUCGAGUGGCGAACGGGUGAGUAACACGUGAGUAACCUGCCCUUGACUUUGGGAUAACUUCAGGAAACUGGGGCUAAUACCGGAUAGGAGCUCCUGCUGCAUGGUGGGGGUUGGUAAGUUUCGGCGGUUGGGGAUGGACUCGCGGCUUAUCAGCUUGUUGGUGGGGUAGUGGCUUACCAAGGCUUUGACGGGUAGCCGGCCUGAGAGGGUGACCGGCCACAUUGGGACUGAGAUACGGCCCAGACUCCUACGGGAGGCAGCAGUGGGAAAUAUUGCACAAUGGGCGGAAGCCUGAUGCAGCAACGCCGCGUGCGGGAUGACGGCCUUCGGGUUGUAAACCGCUUUCGCCUGUGACGAAGCGUGAGUGACGGUAAUGGGUAAAGAAGCACCGGCUAACUACGUG
rnacentral:rRNA from 1 species